rnacentral:rRNA from 1 species
AGUCGAACGAAGUCUUCGGACUUAGUGGCGCACGGGUGCGUAACGCGUGGGAAUCUGCCCUUGGGUACGGAAUAACUCAGAGAAAUUUGUGCUAAUACCGUAUAAUGUCUUCGGACCAAAGAUUUAUCGCCCAAGGAUGAGCCCGCGUAAGAUUAGCUAGUUGGUGAGGUAAGAGCUCACCAAGGCGACGAUCUUUAGCUGGUCUGAGAGGAUGAUCAGCCACACUGGGACUGAGACACGGCCCAGACUCCUACGGGAGGCAGCAGUGGGGAAUAUUGGACAAUGGGCGAAAGCCUGAUCCAGCAAUGCCGCGUGAGUGAUGAAGGCCUUAGGGUUGUAAAGCUCUUUUACCCGGGAUGAUAAUGACAGUACCGGGAGAAUAAG